AUGGCGGAGGAAUCGUGGAGCAACUCCCCUCCGUUUGCCAAGAGAAUGGCAGAGGCAUCGUGGAGCAACUCCCCUCCGUCUGCCAAGCAUCACCGUGGUGAGGCGUCUGGCAAGGAGCCGCUGGUGGUCGACAACGACGUUCCGGUCCCCGGGCAGAAGCAAGACUACACCGUGCCGCUCAUGGUUGAUAUCCACCUGAAGGAGAAGCUGGAUGUCGUAUGCACCAGCAAUCCAGACGAAGCCGACAAGAGGAUCCGCGACAUGAGGAGGAGGCUCGGCGGCAUGGUUUCUCGGUCGAUCGGCGUUGAUGUCGAGUAUACCAGGGAAGACGAACCUCCGCAAAUGGCUGUAGUUCUGCAGUUAUGCGUGGAGGAUCUCGUCCUGGUAUACCACAUCACCGCGGCAACCAAAUGGCCCAAGGAACUCCGCCCGCUCCUGCGGGAGAAGAAGUUGUACACCUUUGUUGGCUUCUCCAUUGGAGGUGACAAGGAGAAGCUGAAGUUGUCUGGUUUGGAGAUCAACCCCGACAACCUCAUCCACCCAUCCUACAAGGAAAUGAAGGGGAAGAUCAACAAGAAAUUGGACCACAAACGAUGGGGGGGCAGCCCACUGCCAAACAACCUCAUCGAGUAUGCAGCGAAAGAUGCGUACGUCACCUACGAGGCAUGGAAGAAAAUCGAAACCGUCAAAGAAGGUUGGAGCAAUGGCAAGAGGCGGAGGAUCAUUGGGAUGACCCCUACUACUGGGGAUAUU
rnacentral:rRNA from 1 species